UCGUGUUAAGUUACUCCACCACGCGGGACAUUUUUAGCUAAAAAGUCUCACAGACUUCUGUCUGCAGGCAAAAGAGAAGAUAAAGGAGGACAGAGGACGCCACUUUCUGAGACGAAAAGACACCCUCUUUAGCCUCGAAGCGGGUUUUCCUCGGUAGACGGAGCGAGUCUUCUCCACCCGGAUUUAGUCAGUGGAGUUACAGUGGACUGUGGACAGACAUCAAUCAACCAGACUGAAGCAAGUUUUAACAACCAGACUUCGUCACUUAAACCUUCAGAAGAUACUCAUCAAAAUACAAAUGAAGUCUUAUUUUCAAUGUCAGCUGAGUCCCAGUCAUACAGA
ensembl:lncRNA